UGAAUAUGGAUGUAUAUCAGUUAGUCUAAUUAAUUCAGAAUUUUACGAGACCGCGAAAGGCAAUGAACACGGCAUUGAUGAAUUAGAAGCAUUGGGUUCAUCUGACAUGUAGAUUUCUGCAUUUGCAUUGGUGGCUACUGUAAAUUUGGUAAUUCUUGAUCAAUAUGCAUAUUUAUCUUACGUUUUUCUCGUUUAUUAUGAAUGAGUAUCAAUGCAUCAUGUAUUACUAGUGUGAAUGAUUUAGAACUCAUUGUGAUUUUUAUGUGUUCCAUUAUUUCGAAAUCUACUUUCUCUGUAAUUGUGCUGCUGCUUUAAGUGAGCAUUUAUUCAACGGAUGGAUCGAUAAAAUUAAACAUUCCGGUAGUCUGAAGCUGCUAACAGCUUUUGUCAAAAGUUAUGUAUGAUGAGUCCCUUUUUGCUGGAAUAUUCCGAAUAUGUUUGUUAUUAGGUUUGGUCUGCUCUUUAGCUGAAAUAUACUGUACUGCUGGAAAGCUUUAUCCUUUUUCGAUGAUAAUGAACUAUAAAGAAUGUACUUUUGCAGAGCAUGUUGAGAAAUACAGAUGAAUGUGCAGACUUCGGAUGCUUUGUUUCUAGUUGCUCGUAUGUGUAAGAAUCAAUUUGAAGUUCUCGAUAAGAUCAUUUGUAGGUCUCAAUCAAGCAUAACAAUUCAAUUAAGAAAGAGAAAAGGAUUAUAGUGAAAACUCAUGGUGCUAUGUGAAUUUUUACUCUCUUUUGCAUUUAACUGAUCCUACCAUUUUUACUAGUUUAGAAGAAACUAACUAAUUCAAGUAACGGUUAAUGUAGAUGAGGUGAACCUUUGGUGUUUGCACCUGGUUGCACGUACCUUGACUAAUCCACCGAACAUUCCAAAGAAUGGGGAGUAAAUAGAUACUCCGACUUCAAUUGAAUGCAGAACUAAUUCUUGAUGAUGGGAUUUGCUUGGUUUGUCCUAGAAUUUACUUGCUAUUUGUUCGCGGCUGCUAAAAAGUGUUUUGAAGUUCUGUCUAACAGCAAAAAUACCUUAGUUACUGCUUGUGCUUCCUUGUUGUGUUUCUGUAGGAAUAAUGCCAACUCUUCAUGACUCCUGUGUUUUUUGGUAUUGCAGGUCUCAAAGUUGUAAGAAUGAUAUCUUGCUUCGUUUGUCAAUUUUAAGGAACUGUACUGGAUUUGUUCUGGAGAACAUAGUGUUACGUCUUCUCUGUCCGGUGAGUAAAAAAUGUAGGGAAACGAGCAUACUGUUGAUGAAGGCAUGACCUGUCAUCGUCGCAACUGAAAUAUGAUUUCUAAUGUAGAGGUUUAACACUGUAAAACUCUUUUAACUGUUGGUAUAGUCUAACUGUUGCAUCUGAUAUGAAAACUUUCUAAUACGCUGGCAAAAUAAUAUCUACCUUGAUUCUUGAAUAAUGUUGCUUUAUUGCGUUAUAAUAUCUAUCUACAUAGUAAAAACAUAUUUCUUAUGUUGAACGUGCAAAAACAUGAGUUGCGAAGUUGAGUAACCUGAGAUUUCAGGUUCAAAACUCAGCGGAGACAAAAAAAUACUAGGUGAUUCUUCCCAUUUGUUCUUGCCUUUGUGGACACAGUUACCUGGUACUUGAUAUCUGUUGUUGUGGAAUUAGUAGAAGUGCGCAAAAGCUGGUCCGAACACCAGAGUCAUAAAAAAAAAAGUUGCAAGGCUAGGACCACUGAAAAAAUGUUAUCUUUAGUCUGAAAAUAUGUUCCUCUUUGGUGUGAGCAUGUUUCUUUUUUGACAUGAUAAUAUGAAGGAUUGUCAUUUUCCCUCUUUUUUUAAGUCGAAGGUCUAUACAAGAUGACGUAUCUACCCCACAAAGGUGAGGGUGACACUUGCGUACAUUUUACCUUCUUUCGACUCCACUUAUGGAAUUACAUUAGGUAUGUUGUUCUCGUUUUCUUUCUUUUUUGCGCGUAGGUUCAUGGGUGCAUCUUAUUGGUCUUUCUGGAACUGUAAACGAGUUUUAUAUUAUACAGUAUACAUGUUAGUAUUAUAUAUGACAAUUAUGUCUCAAACAAGUUGAGAUUGGUUCUAUGACUUACAUUUCUGCAUUUAGGUCCAUUACAUAUAUAUAUAUAUAUAAUAAUCAGUGUAUAUAUUUUGACCAUAUUAAGUAGGUAAUAAGUUUGACUGAAUUAUACAUAUCGACAAGAGUCCCAUUUCAAUACUCCGUCCUAUUUUUAUCAAGGAAAGGACUCAAAUAUGCCAUUAAACUUUUAGAAAAAAUUUAUUUGUACCAUUAGUUAAUAGUUUGGCUCAUUUAUGUCAUUACUAUUGAGAAAAGACUCAUUCAUGUUAUUACUUUUUAACGAUAGUUUUACAAAAUUAUUUUUGACACGUGGUUAAUUAUAAUUUAGCCAAGUCAUUAAUUUUUUUAAUAAUUUUUAAAAAAAAAAUUAAUUCAACUUUUAUUUAGAAUUUUAAUUUUUGUAUUUAAAAAAUUGAUGACGUGGCCGAUUUACAAUUGAUCACGUGUAAAAAGUGGUUUUGUAAAACUGUAAUGGCAUGAAUAAGUCUUUUUUUGAACGGUAAUGACAUAGAUGAGCUAAACUUUUAACGAAUAGCAUAAAUGAAUCUUUUAUAAAAAUUUGAUAACAUAUUUGACCCUUUUCCCUUUUAUUAAUAAAAACAUGUGCAAUUAAUGUAAAUCUUAGGGUUUAAGCGGUAAUGAGUACAGUGAACUAGUUAUGUCGCUGGAAAGAAAAACUUGUUUUAUUUGUUACGUUUGAAAAAUCAGGAGUUAGCGCUAAAUAGCCAGAAAAUUUUAAAAAUUGAUAAUAUUUUUUUUUAAAAAAAAUGAAUCCAUCUUUUUUCAUUUUUUGGUAAAAGGUAUCAAAAAUAAAAGGG
rnacentral:lncRNA from 1 species